rnacentral:rRNA from 1 species
AUUGAACGCUGGCGGCAGGCUUAACACAUGCAAGUCGAGCGGGGGAAGGUAGCUUGCUACCGGACCUAGCGGCGGACGGGUGAGUAAUGCUUAGGAAUCUGCCUAUUAGUGGGGGACAACAUCUCGAAAGGGAUGCUAAUACCGCAUACGUCCUACGGGAGAAAGCAGGGGAUCUUCGGACCUUGCGCUAAUAGAUGAGCCUAAGUCGGAUUAGCUAGUUGGUGGGGUAAGGGCCUACCAAGGCGACGAUCUGUAGCGGGUCUGAGAGGAUGAUCCGCCACACUGGGGCUGAGACACGGCCCAGACUCCUACGGGAGGCAGCAGUGGGGAAUAUUGGACAAUGGGGGGAACCCUGAUCCAGCCAUGCCGCGUGUGUGAAGAAGGCCUUAUGGUUGUAAAGCACUUUAAGCGAGGAGGAGGCUACUUUAGUUAAUACCUAGAGAUAGUGGACGUUACUCGCAGAAUAAGCACCGGCUAACUCUGUGCCAGCAGCCGCGGUAA